UACGUAGGCAGCGAGCGUUGUUCGGAAUUACUGGGCUUAAAGAGUGUGUAGGCGGUGCUCUAAGUUCGGUGUGAAAUCUCCCGGCUUAACUGGGAGGGUGCGCCGGAAACUGGAGUGCUCGAGCGUGGGAGAGGAAAGCGGAAUUCCUGGUGUAGCGGUGAAAUGCGUAGAUAUCAGGAGGAACACCUGCGGUGUAGACGGCUUUCUGGACCAUUGCUGACGCUGAGACACGAAAGCGUGGGUAGCAAACAGG
rnacentral:rRNA from 1 species